CUUGCUGCAGCGCCUGGCCAACAGUUGAGUCGCGAAAGUCGUCGAGUGCGUUUGCUGAGUGUGGUUUUCGGCUGCCGUUACCGUUACCGUUCGAGUUUCUAACUUAUUAUUAGUCGCUUGCUUGCUUAGUUAGUGAGUUAGUUAGUUGCUUCUUCAACACAAUUCGGCAUCGCUUCAGUGGACGUAGUGGAGCGGUUUUGGGUGUGCGUGUACAAUAUGCAAUCAUUGCAUUAGCAACAACAACAACAUACGCCAUAUAUAUUACAUAUUUACAUUCUAAGUAACACACACUAAUGUUUUAGAACUCGUCCACCCCGGCGUAUGAGUAACAGCCUGAAAAAAACGUAGUGGUGUAUUUUCACAAGUGCCAAGAACAGUAUUUGCAGCAGCCCUUUAAAGUAUUUGCGCUAAAAAUAAAAAAUAAAGUAAAUUAAAAAUAUAAGAAGUAAAAAACCAAGAACAAAAAAAAAACACAACUCAAAACUAAAGAGCAAUAAGUUCAAAGCAACA